UACGUAGGCAGCAAGCGUUGUUCGGAUUUACUGGGCGUAAAGAGUAUGUAGGCGGUUGGGUAAGUUUGGUGUGAAAUCUCCCGGCUUAACUGGGAGGGUGCGCUAAAGACUGCCUGGCUCGAGUGUGGGAGAGGAAAGCGGAAUUCCUGGUGUAGCGGUGAAAUGCGUAGAUAUCAGGAGGAACACCUGCGGUGUAGACGGCUUUCUGGACCAUAACUGACGCUGAGAUACGAAAGCGUGGGUAGCAAACAGG
rnacentral:rRNA from 1 species